rnacentral:rRNA from 1 species
CGGCUAGAAUCGAGCUAGCCGUGAAGCAUGUUCAUCUAGUCUGCGUAACUAACAGAUUUACUUUGGUAAUGACGUUAGGAAAGCGAGCGGCGGAUGGGUGAGUAACACGUGGGGAACCUGCCCCAUAGUCUGGGAUACCACUUGGAAACAGGUGCUAAUACCGGAUAAGAAAGCAGAUCGCAUGAUCAGCUUUUAAAAGGCGGCGUACGCUGUCGCUAUGGGAUGGCCGCGCGGUGCAUUAGCUAGUUGGUAAGGUAAAGGCUUACCAAGGCGAUGAUGCAUAGCCGAGUUGAGAGACUGACCGGCCGCGUUGGGACUGAGACACGGCCCAAACUCCUACGGGAGGCAGCAGUAGGGAAUCUUCCACAAUGGACGCAAGUCUGAUGGAGCAACGCCGCGUGAGUGAAGAAGGUUUUCGGAUCGUAAAGCUCUGUUGUUGGUGAAGAAGGAUAGAGGUAGUAACUGGCCUUUAUUUGACGGUAAUCAACCAGAAAGUCACGGCUAACUACGUGCCAGCAGCCGCGGUAAUAAGGUGAGAUGUGCCAAGGAGUUGUCCGGGAUUUAUUUGGGCGGGUAAAGCGAGCGCAGGCGGAAGAAUAUAAAUCUGAUGUGAAAGCCCUCGGCUUAACCGAGGAACUGCAUCGGAAACUGUUUUUCUUGAGUGCAGAAGAGGAGAGUGGAACUCCAUGUGUAGCGGUGGAAUGCGUAGAUAUAUGGAAGAACACCAGUGGCGAAGGCGGCUCUCUGGUCUGCAACUGACGCUGAGGCUCGAAAGCAUGGGUAGCGAACAGGAUUAGAUACCCUGGUAGUCCAUGCCGUAAACGAUGAGUGCUAAGUGUUGGGAGGUUUCCGCCUCUCAGUGCUGCAGCUAACGCAUUAAGCACUCCGCCUGGGGAGUACGACCGCAAGGUUGAAACUCAAAGGAAUUGACGGGGGCCCGCACAAGCGGUGGAGCAUGUGGUUUAAUUCGAAGCAACGCGAAGAACCUUACCAGGUCUUGACAUCUAGUGCCAUUUGUAGAGAUACAAAGUUCCCUUCGGGGACGCUAAGACAGGUGGUGCAUGGCUGUCGUCAGCUCGUGUCGUGAGAUGUUGGGUUAAGUCCCGCAACGAGCGCAACCCUUGUUAUGAGUUGCCAGCAUUAAGUUGGGCACUCUAAUGAGACUGCCGGUGACAAACCGGGAGGAAGGUGGGGAUGACGUCAAGUCAUCAUGCCCCUUAUGACCUGGGCUACACACGUGCUACAAUGGGCAGUACAAACGAGAAGCGAGCCUGCGAAGGCAAAGCGAAUCUCUGAAAAGCUGUUCUCAGUUCGGACUGCAGUCUUGCAAACUCGACUGCACGAAACCUGGAAUCGCUAGUAAUUCCGCGGGAUCAGCACGCCGCGGUGAAUACGUUCCCGGGCCUUGUACACACCGCCCGUCACACCAUGGGAGGCCAAUGCCCAUAGCCGCGGGCCUGACAGAGUUUAUGCAUGAUCCCUAGAGUUAGCGUGCAGUAUCAUC